GAGAGUGGCCAACAAACAAACCUUUCUUCUAGCAAAAAAAACACAGACUGCACAAAGUCGAACAGCAGAUGUGGCCUAUGAAUCUAAACAUCCUUUUCUGCUGGUAAAAAGAAUUCGAUGCAUUUGCAACAUUAAAAGUAGCCUCACCAUUUUGGGAUGCCAGGAACAAAGAACUGCACAAAUAAGAGCCAGCAUCCUUUUCUCCGCAAGUCUUAACUGCAAUUUCACUGCAAGUCUCAAUUCAAGAAAAGAUCUGCAUUUCUGACAAUGUAAAUCUAGGGAGUAGAACGAUCUGCUUUUUUUUCCCUCAAAUCUCUCCAUGUCAGGAGACUGACAUCAAAAUUGGGUAGAGUUUACACAAAGAUUAGGAGAAACACUUCUGCUCCACAAGAUAACCUGAAUUUAUGUCAACAACCUUCUCUCCAGAUGCUGCCACUGAAAAUCUUGCUUUUACUACUUCUGGGUUAUUUUACUGCAAUAUAAUAAACACAGGAUUAUCAAAUGAAAACCACUCACAAAUUACAGCAGAUGUAGAAUGAGGCCGAUAAUCAACAAGGAAAAAUGUAUCACGUUAUUUCUUUGAUGAUGAUAUUGAGUUAUUUUCUUCUGGAAUAAUACAAGGUGUUUGAAGCCCUAAA